UAAGCAUAUCAAUAAGCGGAGGAAAAGAAACCAACAGGGAUUGCCCCAGUAACGGCGAGUGAAGCGGCAACAGCUCAAAUUUGAAAUCUGGCCCUCGGGUCCGAGUUGUAAUUUGUAGAGGAUGCUUUUGGCGAGGUGCCUUCCGAGUUCCCUGGAACGGGACGCCAUAGAGGGUGAGAGCCCCGUCUGGUCGGACACCGAGCCUCUGUAAAGCUCCUUCGACGAGUCGAGUAGUUUGGGAAUGCUGCUCAAAAUGGGAGGUAUAUGUCUUCUAAAGCUAAAUAUUGGCCAGAGACCGAUAGCGCACAAGUAGAGUGAUCGAAAGAUGAAAAGCACUUUGAAAAGAGGGUUAAAAAGUACGUGAAAUUGUUGAAAGGGAAGCGCUUAUGACCAGACUUGCGCCCGGUGAAUCAUCCAGCGUUCUCGCUGGUGCACUUUGCCGGGCACAGGCCAGCAUCAGUUUGGCGCGGGGGAAAAAGGCUUCGGGAAUGUGGCUCCCUCGGGAGUGUUAUAGCCCGCUGCGUAAUACCCUGCGCCGGACUGAGGUACGCGCAUUGCAAGGAUGCUGGCGUAAUGGUCAUCAGCGACCCGUCUUGAAACACGGACCAAGGAGUCGUCUUCGUAUGCGAGUGUUCGGGUGUCAAACCCCUACGCGUAAUGAAAGUGAACGCAGGUGAGAGCUUCGGCGCAUCAUCGACCGAUCCUGAUGUUCUCGGAUGGAUUUGAGUAAGAGCAUACGGGGCCGGACCCGAAAGAAGGUGAACUAUGCCUGUAUAGGGUGAAGCCAGAGGAAACUCUGGUGGAGGCUCGCAGCGGUUCUGACGUGCGAAUCGAUCGUCAAAUAUGGGCAUGGGGGCGAAAGACUAAUCGAACCUUCUAGUAGCUGGUUUCCGCCGAAG
rnacentral:rRNA from 1 species